GAAUCACAUUAACCAAGAUGUUUUAACACUACAAAUGUUGACAAAUCAGUAAUUGAUUGUUUAGAUUAAUAUAAGUAAAUAAUAAAAGAGAAUAAUUAAGAUCACAAUUAAUUAAAAAAAGCAAGUUAAAGUUAACAAAGUUAAGCAUGUUUUGGUUACUUUAAAGAAAACUAAACCCAAAUUCAACUUCUACUCUCGACAAUCGAACACGAAUAAUUGUUUGCAAUCGAUUAAUCGUUUCAAUCGUUUAUCACGAAUGUUUUGUUUUAAACAAGGUUGUUGCUGUAGCUGAUUUGAAAGGAGAAAGGAUUGAAGUUGAAAGAAACUAAUAGAAAAAAGAUAAUAAUUAAUAAUUAGGAUGAUUAAAAAAGGAUGAAACUUAUGACCGAUAAACACAGGAAAAGAGUAAUCAUGAAUUAACUGGAAACAAUGAGAAACAAUGUAUAUAGCUGCAGAUGAUCGCUGAUGAUGGUAAUGCUGGUUAAUACUGAUUGAUAAUGAUGAGCUUCAAUUGUGUAAAAUAUGUUUUUUAAUUUAAUUACCCUUGUCACUUUGGUGGUUUUGAUAUCCAGCAACAGCAAUAACACAAAAACUAAACAAUAUUAUCCUUUGGUUGUGGUUCAAGUGAAAAAAAAUUAAUCAAAUUAGAUGGUAAAAAGUGUCUUACUGGAGCUGAAACAGAGGUGAAAACAACUUUUAAGUGUAAAGGUGAAAAAGACCAAAUAACCAGAGCCGCCAAUAUGGAGCAUCUUCAUCGCGCAAUUAUGCUGAUCCCGCCAAAAACUGUUACCUUGUGACCCUUGAAGGCAAACCAGGCCUACAAGAUUGGACCCUUUGUGCUCCUUUUGAGUUAUCUCUCUGCUACCUUUGGUGUAUCUUGUUGUUACUCCGUAGCUCAUUUGGCUCUCAAGUCUAAAGCUGGUUUCUGUUUCUCAAGAAUCAUUUACCAAGUAAAUCAUGGCUGAAAAAAAGGCAACGAUAAACAAGAAACGCUAAAAGUUAUCAUUUUCAUGGUUCACUGAAGACAAUAAUAACGAUGGACUGAAUGAUAGAGCUUCCACCAGACUCGCUGUCAAUGGCUCAUUGAAAGAGUAAAGGACCAAAUUCAAAACUGGAAUUCACCUUGGAUUUCCUACGUUUUAGAAUCAAUUUAUUUUUCCUUCAAAGUUUGCCUUUUAUCCGUACAUUCAAUUUUACUUUUUUGCCAAGCAAAAUUCAUUCUUGAUUUUAUUCAAAGUUGCAGCAAACAUGUUAAUGAAGGCCUUGCUGAUGCAUAAUUGUAUUAUUACUACAACCAAUUCAACAAAGUAAUUUGAUAAUCUUCCUCUUAAAUUACCAGGUAACAUCAUCGAUACAUUGCUUUUCCCUUUCUGGUUUUGUUUGUGUGAAGGAUGAACCAUGUUUAAAAAUAUCCAUUUUUUCUUGGCUAAAAGCAAAUUACCAAUCAAAAUGGACAUUUUCGCGAUUAUUUUCAAGGUUUCGCUUAAUUUUUUUACAAUCCAUCACAAUUAUAAUAUUUGGAAUCAAGAUUCACAUCAAUCAAAUAUUUAAAACGAUGAAAUCAAUUACAUUAAUUAGAGACAGGAGGUUAAAGGCAGCUAAUGAGUAAAGUCAAUCAACUAAGCAUGAUAAAUCCAAAAUCAACUGCUGUUUCCGCCAUUUGCUUUGAACGAUAAUAAGUUAUAUUGGUUGGGUCAAUCGUGAGCUGAUAAUUGUUUAAAUCAUGAUCGCUAAGUUGAUUGUCACUAAACUCUUUAAUUACGAAAGUAACCUACUUGUAUUGCUUUACCAAUUAGUCCAAAAUGGUAAUUGACAAACGCAUAUGAAUACAAUUGAAUCAUCAUUAAAACGUGAUCAUAUCCAUUUUCAAUGAAGUUGUCAAAAGGCUGAUGAUCAAAAUGAUGACGAUUAUGAUAAUGUUGACGUUCUUUAGUUGAAAUUAAAAGUAAAAUUGUUUUCAACUAAUCAGACUCAAGGUUAAUGAGAACCAUAGAUUUUGUUUCAAGUUAAUAUUAUUUAAAAUUCAUGUCACUUUCUUGUCAGUCGAGUCAACAAUUAAGACGUACUUGUAAAGUGGUGGAUAAUUUUUUUCAAAAUACAAGUCAAAAUAGGGUUGAA